rnacentral:rRNA from 1 species
AUUGAACGCUGGCGGCAGGCCUAACACAUGCACGUCGAGCGAGCGGCGGACGGGUGAGUAAUGUAUGGGGAUCUGCCCGAUAGAGGGGGAUAACUACUGGAAAAGGUGGUUCAUACCGCAUACUAUCGGAUGAACCCCUAUGGGAUUAGCGAGUUGGUGAGGUAACGGCUCACAAAGGCCACGAUGCCUAGCCGACCUGAGAGGAGGAUCAUCCACACUGGGACUGAGACACGGCCCAGACUCCUACGGGAGGCAGCAGUGGGGAAUAUUGCACAAUGGGCGCAAGCCUGAUGCAGCCAUGCCGCGUGUAUGAAGAAGGCCUUAGGGUUGUAAAGUACUUUCAGCGGGGAGGCGUUACCCGCAGAAGAAGCACCGGCUAACUACGUGCCAGCAGCCGCGGUAAUUC